UCUGUGCAAUAAAUUUUGCUCUGAGAAGGCUGCUGAGCACAUGGAGGAACAUGGGAUCUAAUGACUAAUCCUGAACUUUCCCAUAUCAAAAUAGAAAUUUCAUUUUCUUUGCACAAGAACACAUUUUCCAGUGCAUGUGGAUGGGGAGACAUCCGGAGAAAAGAGCAGCGUAGGCAGAGCCGUGCCUUGGGGACUGAGCAGCCGUGCUGACCAUGAGCGAGCAGAGCCAUGUCAACAGCCUGUUCCUCAACGAGGACGCAGCCAAGCGGCUCAAUGCCGAGAGCCGGGUGCAGCGCUUACGGCAGGCGGUGCAGAAGCGGGCAGCACGGGCCAAGAAGCGGAUGCACAGCAUCACUGCCGACAGCGCUAAAAGCUUCUUCAGGAGAAAUGCCUUCGUCCUCUUCACCAUUGCUGCAGUCUUACUAGGGAUCAUCCUGGCAUUUUCCCUUCGGCCCUACCAGCUGACCUAUCGCCAGAUCAAGUAUUUCUCCUUCCCCGGCGAGCUGCUGAUGCGUAUGCUCCAGAUGUUGGUUCUUCCUCUCAUUGUCUCUAGCUUGAUUACAGGAAUGGCCUCGCUGGAUGGCAGAGCCUCAGGGAAGAUGGGGAUGCGGGCUGUCGUCUACUACAUGGUGACCACAAUCAUAGCAGUCUUCAUUGGCAUCCUCAUGGUGAUCAUCAUCCACCCAGGAAAAGGAUCUAAGGACAAGCUUCACCGAGAAGGCAGAAUUGAGCAGGUGCAGACCACAGAUGCCUUCAUGGACUUGGUGAGGAAUAUGUUCCCACCCAACCUGGUAGAAGCCUGCUUCAAACAGUACAAGACGCAGUACAGCACCAGGGUCUUCACCAGAACCGUCCUCCACAGCACCAAUGUCACAGCAGGUGUGACAACCACUCAGAUCCCUGUGCCUGAGAACUUCACCAGCAUCCUGGAGAACGUCACUCAUGCCCUGGGGACCAUCUCCGAGGUGCUGACCUUUGAAGAAGUCAUUCCCAUCCCGGGCUCAGCCAAUGGGGUGAACGCGCUGGGGCUGGUAGUGUUCUCCAUGUGCUUCGGUUUGGUGAUCGGCAGCAUGAAGCAGAAGGGACGGGCCCUGCGGGAGUUCUUUAACUGCCUCAACGAAGCCAUCAUGAGGCUGGUGGCCAUUAUCAUCUGGUACGCUCCAGUUGGAAUCAUGUUUUUAAUUGCCGGCAAAAUCCUGGAGAUGGAUGACCUAGCAGUGAUGGGAGGUCAGCUGGGGAUGUACACGCUCACUGUCAUCGUUGGACUCCUCAUUCAUGCCCUCUGCAUCCUGCCACUGCUUUACUUCAUCGUCACUCACAGAAACCCCUGGGUAUUCAUUGCAGGGCUUCUGCAGGCCCUCAUCACAGCCCUGGGCACCUCCUCAAGCUCAGCAACUCUACCCAUCACCUUCAGGUGCCUGGAAGAAAAUAAUGGUGUGGACAGGCGCAUCACGAGGUUUGUUCUGCCUGUGGGAGCUACAAUUAACAUGGAUGGCACUGCUCUGUACGAGGCCCUUGCAGCCAUCUUUAUUGCACAAGUCAACAACUAUGAACUUGACUUCGGGCAGAUCAUCACAAUAAGCAUCACUGCCACAGCAGCCAGCAUUGGAGCCGCAGGUAUUCCCCAGGCAGGACUGGUGACAAUGGUUAUAGUGUUGACAUCAGUGGGGCUGCCUACUGAAGACAUUACGCUGAUCAUCGCUGUGGACUGGUUUCUGGACCGCCUUAGAACGACCACCAAUGUUCUGGGGGAUUCUCUGGGGGCUGGCAUUGUGGAGCAUCUCUCCCGGCGUGAGCUGGAUGCGCAGGACUGCGAACUUGGUAAUUCUGUGACAGAGGAGAAAGAGCAGCUCUCCCACCUGGUUUGCCCACACAAUGACAUCCACAGGCACCCCAGGAGUGAGACAGCACUGUGAAACUGGGCAGCAGAGUGCAGAUCAAUGCUAUAAAAGCGAAGACUUGAAACAGAAGUCCAUAGUAGAGGACAGAGAAAGAUCCACUCUCCAAGAUGCACACUUUUCUCCCCACCUCUGCCACACGCAGUCUUCCCUGAUCCCGUUUCUCCCCCAUCUCUUUCUGACUGGCAUUAAAGAGGAGGAAAUUAAACUGCAAAGAAAGUUUUAUUCCACAGAAGCCUGAUUUAGUCAUUCUUAUGGUGUCCAAGAGUUAGACCUGAGUAAAGAAGACUCAGUGAAUGAGCUGGACUAGGAGCUCCUUCGUUUCUGAGCUAAAGUAUGAGCACAGCUAAGUGGCAAGGUGGGUCGGGGACACCAAAACCUGUGGGCUGGCACCAAAAUGUUGCCAUGAUGACUCUGCCCUGCAGGAUACAGCUGCAAAGCCUUCACUUGGUCGGUGCUUUCCCCCAAGCACAUAAAGCUUUUAGCAUUGGCCAUUUGGAGAUCUCUGGAGAGCCCCAGCACUCCUGUUUAAGCUCUUCACUGCCAAGAGUGUUUAUCAUAAACACAGUGUCCUCCUUGCUCACAGUCCUGGUGUUUGCACAGAUAUGCGGAUGACGCAUCCUGAGAGCUUCUCACUCCUCCAGCAACCCUUCUGGCUGCAGAUACUGGAGUCACCCAGCUCCUGAAGGAAUACUAAACAGACCCUGUAUACCCUCUCAGACUAUUUGUCCAACUUUUCAAGAAAGCAUUGAAUUCUAAUCCUGAAGAGACUUCCUGUAUAUAAAGGGCAAACUGAUGGAUGAAUUGGAAGAAAAGAUUGUUGGAUUGAACUCUAGCUCAAAUGGGAAUUAAUUCUGGGAAGUCCUAUGGCUUGGGUUAUACAGACAGCCAAACUAGAUGAUCAUAAGGGUCCCUUCUGGCUUUAUAAUAUAUGCACGUGCUUUCUGGUUUAGAGAUAUUGCAAAGGGUCCUUCCAGCCUGAUCAUUUUUAAAAGGUGUCUGGAAGGAUCCUAAUGAUACUUUAAUAAAACUCAGCAGGAGUCUAACCUGUUUUCAGUUGCUGUUAGCAGACAUGUGAACAUAUCAAAAAAGGGGCUCUCCAUACCACAUUGCAUCAACAUGAUCUCAGAUGUUCCCACAAAGUAGUACACUCCAAGCCUUCACAUUUGUGAUUUCCUGCUUUCAACACAAGAUUAAUGGAGCACAAACAAGUAGAGGCCUCAUUUUCAAAUACUGCAAAUGAGUCUCCCAUGGGGAAUUUCAGAAUUCAGCUGAUAGUUUUUAGCUCUGGUGUUUAUCCAUGUCAUUAAGCAGUUUAUGACUGGGAUUAUCUAUCUGCUUACGGUACCCAAACAGUAAAGUAUUGUCAGGAAUUUGCAUAUAUAUAUAUAUAGAUAUAUAUACCUCUGUAUAUAUAUAUAUAUGAAAGGGGCACAUGUGCACAAACAUACAUAUACACAGAGGGGUUUUUUUUUUUGCUAAUCCAAGAAGGAAAGGCAAUACUAAAGUCUCACUCUGUAAAGCUGCAUACUUCAUUUUGAUGGCCACCUUGAUUUACCCAACUAAUCCCAUCCUUAAAAAAACAGAGAAUAUUUUACUUUAUUCCAGUAAUAAGUCUUCCAAAGCAAGGUUUACCAGGAAGGAGCAUAGUGCAUGCUGAUUUGAAGUUGUACCUGCUGGUGAUAUAAAGAGAACUUCUCAAUGUAUAGACAAAAUUCUCCACUUUGUCUUUGACUUCCCAGCGCAUAUCCCAAGGACCCACAUCCCCACUGCAUCUGACUUGGCAAGGAGGCAGGCUUUAAGAGCUCAGCCAAGAAUACAGAAGUGUUUGUACUCCUUCCAAACCCAACACUGACCUUGUACUAACUCAGCCUUCAAAACUGGAUAACUGAAAUUAUUAAAUCAUUUUAUCAACUGUCUUUUUAAAUUACCAGAUAUUUGAGAGUUUAUGCAGUCUUUUCUUUACUGUAGUCUUGCUGCUUCUACUUGCAGAAACUUUCCAAGUUUCUCCUAUUUGCAGACAGAUUUAUUCCUAAUGAUUAGAUGGGCAACAUUUGGGAUGAAAUAGAGAGCUAUCUCAAUGCAUACAUAAAUGAGGAGCUCUUGGAUUAGGACACAUCUCUUCAAAAUUAAUUUUAAGAGCGAAAAUCCAUGAAGAAUAUGGAUUUUCGGAUGAUAGGCCAUGUGUCACAUUACGUAUGUGAUAUGUGCACAUUGUUUCAGGAGUCAGAUCUGCCCAUGAAAACUGCCCUGAAAUUGUAUGUACUUCUUUUCCUCUGCCCAAAGAAGAAAGAGAUAGCUGGAAAUCAGUGCUGUACAGUGUGUUCAUAGCAUUCUGACAGUUUGACUAUGUUAAUUCCCAAGGGCUUUUUUCUUCAUGCUGUGAGUUUCAGUGUUAAUAAAGAUAGUUUGCAUAUUUGAAAAAUAAAGGGAAUUUUUUCCACGA